rnacentral:rRNA from 1 species
UACGGGGGGGGCAAGCGUUGUUCGGAAUUACUGGGCGUAAAGCGCGUGUAGGCGGCCCUGCAAGUCGGAUGUGAAAUCCCACGGCUCAACCGUGGAAGUGCAUUCGAAACUGCAGGGCUAGAGUCCUGGAGAGGAAGGUGGAAUGCUUGGUGUAGAGGUGAAAUUCGUAGAUAUCAAGCGGAACACCGAUGGCGAAGGCGGCCUUCUGGACAGUGACUGACGCUGAGACGCGAAAGCGUGGGGAGCAAACAGG